rnacentral:rRNA from 1 species
CGACCCCAGGUCAGGAGGGCUACCCAUUGAGUUUAAGCAUAUCAAUAAGCGGAGG